rnacentral:rRNA from 1 species
ACUCCUACGGGAGGCAGCAGUGGGGAAUAUUGCACAAUGGGGGAAACCCUGAUGCAGCCAUGCCGCGUGUGUGAAGAAGGGCCUUCGGGUUGUAAAGCACUUUCAGUAGGGAGGAGGUAGUGUAGUUAACACCUGCACUAUUUGACGUUACCUACAGAAGAAGCACCGGCUAACUCCGUGCCAGCAGCCGCGGUAAUACGGAGGGUGCGAGCGUUAAUCGGAAUUACUGGGCGUAAAGCGCAUGCAGGCGGCCUGUUAAGUCAGAUGUGAAAGCCCGGGGCUUAACCUCGGAAUUGCAUUUGAAACUGGCAGGCUAGAGUCUUGUAGAGGGGGGUAGAAUUUCAGGUGUAGCGGUGAAAUGCGUAGAGAUACUGAAGGAAUACCAGUGGCGAAGGCGGCCCCCUGGACAAAGACUGACGCUC